rnacentral:rRNA from 1 species
AGUGAACGCUGGCGGCGUGCCUAAUACAUGCAAGUCGAACGGAGUGGCGCACGGGUGAGUAAUAUAUAGCUAAUCUGCCCCUUGAUGGUGGACAACCGUUCGAAAUGACUGCUAAUACUCCAUAGCAAGGUAUUAGACUCUAUCGUUGAAGCUCGUCGGUGGGGUAACGGCCUACCGCGGCUAUGACGCGUAACUGGUCUGAGAGGAUGAUCAGUCAAAUUUGAACUGAUACACGGUGCAAACUCCUACGGGAGGGAGCAGUAGGUAAUAUUGAGCAAUGGGGGAGAGUCUGACGCAGCAACGCCGCGUGGAGGAUGACACUUUUCGGAGCGUAAACUCCUUUUGUUAGGGAAGCGGGACCUAAAGAAUAAGAACCGGCUAACUCCGUGCCAGCAGCCGCGGUAAUAG